rnacentral:rRNA from 1 species
GUGCACCAGGCGCGAAACCUCCGCAAUGCGGGAAACCGUGACGGGGUCACCCCGAGUGCCACCCGAUGAGGGUGGCUUUUCCCCGGUCUAAAAAGCCGGGGGCAAUAAGCGGGGGCAAGUCUGGUGUCAGCCGCCGCGGUAAUACCAGCCCCGCGAGUGGUCGGGACGUUUAUUGGGCCUAAAGCGUCCGUAGCCGGCUCGGUAAGUCCCUCCUUAAAUCCACGGGCUCAACCCGUGGGCUGGGAGGGAUACUGCCGGGCUAGGGGGCGGGAGAGGCCGAGGGUACUCCCGGGGUAGGGGCGAAAUCCGUUAAUCCCGGGAGGACCACCAGUGGCGAAGGCGCUCGGCUGGAACGCGCCCGACGGUGAGGGACGAAAGCUGGGGGAGCAAAGGGGAUUAGAUACCCGCGUAGU